UUUUGGCUAAGGUGUCUUGGCUAAUGUGUCUCGGCUAAUGUGUCUUGGCUAUGGUGUCUUGGCUAAGGUGUCUUGGCUAAGGUGUCUUGGCUAAUGUGUCUUGGCUAAUGUGUCUUGGCUAAUGUGUCUUGGCUUAUGUGUCUCGGCUAAUGUGUCUUGGCUAAGGUGUCUUGGCUAAGGUGUCUUGGCUAAGGUGUCUUGGCUAAGGAGUCUUGGCUAAGGUGUCUUGGCUAAUGUGUCUUGGCUAAUGUGUCUUAGCUAAUGUGUCUUGGCUAAGGUGUCUUGGCUAAUGUGUCUUGGCUUAUGUGUCUCGGCUAAUGUGUCUUGGCUAAGGUGUCUUGGCUAAGGUGUCUUGGCUAAUGUGUCUUGGCUAAUGUGUCUUAGCUAAUGUGUCUUGGCUAAUGUGUCUUGGCUAAUGUGUCUAGGCUUAUGUGUCUCGGCUAAUGUGUCUUGGCUAAGGUGUCUUGGCUAAUGUGUCUCGGCUAAUGUGUCUUGGCUAAGGUGUCUUGGCUAAUGUGUCUUGGCUAAUGUGUCUUGGCUUAUGUGUCUCGGCUAAUGUGUCUUGGCUAAGGUGUCUUGGCUAAGGUGUCUUGGCUAAGGUGUCUUGGCUAAGGAGUCUUGGCUAAGGUGUCUUGGCUAAUGUGUCUUGGCUAAUGUGUCUUAGCUAAUGUGUCUUGGCUAAGGUGUCUUGGCUAAUGUGUCUUGGCUUAUGUGUCUCGGCUAAUGUGUCUUGGCUAAGGUGUCUUGGCUAAGGUGUCUUGGCUAAUGUGUCUUGGCUAAUGUGUCUUAGCUAAUGUGUCUUGGCUAAUGUGUCUUGGCUAAUGUGUCUAGGCUUAUGUGUCUCGGCUAAUGUGUCUUGGCUAAGGUGUCUUGGCUAAUGUGUCUCGGCUAAUGUGUCUUGGCUAAGGUGUCUUGGCUAAGGUGUCUUGGCUAAUGUGUCUCGGCUAAUGUGUCUUGGCUAAUGUGUCUUGGCUAAUGUGUCUUGGCUAAUGUGUCUUGGCUAAUGUGUCUUGGCUAAGGUGUCUUGGCUAAUGUGUCUUGGCUAAUGUGUCUUGGCUAAGGUGUCUUGGCUAAUGUGUCUCGGCUAAGGUGUCUUGGCUAAGGUGUCUUGGCUAAUGUGUCUCGGCUAAUGUGUCUUGGCUAAGGUGUCUUGGCUAAUGUGUCUUGGCUAAUGUGUCUCGGCUAAUGUGUCUUGGCUAAUGUGUCUUGGCUAAAGUGUCUUGGCUAAGGUGUCUUGGCUAAGGUGUCUUGGCUAAGGUGUCUUGGCUAAUGUGUCUUGGCUAAGGUGUCUUGGCUAAGGUGUCUUGGCUAAUGUGUCUCGGCUAAUGUGUCUUGGCUAAGGUGUCUUGGCUAAGGUGUCUUGGCUAUGGUGUCUUGGCUAAGGUGUCUUGGCUAAUGUGUCUUGGCUAAUGUGUCUCGGCUAAUGUGUCUUGGCUAAGGUGUCUUGGCUAAUGUGUUUCGGCUAAGGUGUCUUGGCUAAUGUGUCUUGGCUAAGGUGUCUUGGCUAAUGUGUCUUGGCUAAUGUGUCUUGGCUAAUGUGUCUCGGCUAAGGUGUCUUGGCUAAGGUGUCUUAGCUAAGGUGUCUUGGCUAAUGUGUCUUGGCUAAUGUGUCUCGGCUAAUGUGUUUCGGCUAUGGUCACUUGGCUAAUAUGUCUUGGCUAAGGUGUCUUGGCUAAUGUGUCUCGGCUUAUGUGUCUUGGUUAAGGUGUCUUGGCUAAUGUGUCUUGGCUAAUGUGUCUUGGCUAAUGUGUCUCGGCUAAUGUGUCUCGGCUAAGGUGUCUUGGCUAAUAUGUCUUGGCUAAGGUGUCUUGGCUAAUGUGUCUCGGCUAAUGUGUCUUGGCUAAGGUGUCUUGGCUAAUGUGUCUUGGCUAAGGUGUCUUGGUUAAUGUGUCUCGGCUAAUGUGUCUUGGCUAAUGUGUCUUGGCUAAUGUGUCUUGGCUAAUGUGUCUUGGCUAAGGUGUCUUGGCUAAUGUGUCUUGGCUAAUGUGUCUUGGCUAAGGUGUCUUGGCUAAUGUGUCUCGGCUAAUGUGUCUUGGCUAAGGUGUCUUGGCUAAUGUGUUUCGGCUAAUGUGUCUUGGCUAAUGUGUCUUGGCUAAGGUGUCUUGGCUAAGGUGUCUUGGCUAAGGUGUCUUGGCUAAUGUGUCUUGGCUAAGGUGUCUUGGCUAAGGUGUCUUGGCUAAUGUGUCUUGGCUAAUGUGUCUCGGCUAAUGUGUCUUGGCUAAGGUGUCUCGGCUAAUGUGUCUUGGCUAAUGUGUCUUGGCUAAUGUGUCUCGGCUAAUGUUUCUCGGCUAAGGUGUCUUGGCGAAUAUGUCUUGGCUAAGGUGUCUUGGCUAAUGUGUCUCGGCUAAUGUGUCUUGGCUAAGGUGUCUUGGCUAAUGUGUCUUGGCUAAGGUGUCUUGGCUAAUGUGUCUCGGCUAAUGUGUCUUGGCUAAUGUGUCUUGGCUAAUGUGUCUUGGCUAAGGUGUCUUGGCUAAUGUGUCUCGGCUAAGGUGUCUCGGCUAAUGUGUCUUGGCUAAGGUGUCUUGGCUAAUGUGUCUCGGCUAAUGUGUCUUGGCUAAUGUGUCUUGGCUAAGGUGUCUUGGCUAAUGUGUCUUGGCUAAGGUGUCUCGGCUAAUGUGUCUUGGCUAAGGUGUAUUGGCUAAUGUGUCUUGGCUAAUGUGUCUUGGCUUAGGUGUCUUGGCUAAUGUGUCUCGGCUAAUGUGUCUUGGCUAAGGUGUCUUGGCUAAGGUGUCUUGGCUAAUGUGUCUUGGCUAAUGUGUCUUGGCUAAUGUGUCUUGGCUAAGGUGUCUUGGCUAAUGUGUCUUGGCUAAGGUGUCUCGGCUAAGGUGUCUUGGCUAAGGUGUCUUGGCUAAUGUGCCUUGGCUAAGGUGUCUUGGCUAAGGUGUCUUGGCUAAUGUGUCUUGGCUAAUGUGUCUUGGCUAAGGUGUCUUGGCUAAGGUGUCUUGGCUAAUGUGUCUUGGCUAAGGUGUCUUGGCCAAAUUGUUAUGGCUAAGGUGUCUUGGCUAAUGUGUCUCGGCUAAUGUGUCUUGGCUAAUGUGUCUUGGCUAAUGUGUCUUGGCUAAGGUGUCUUGGCUAAGGUGUCUUGGCUAAUGUGUCUUGGCUAAGGCGUCUUGGCUAAUGUGUCUUGGCUAAUGUGUCUUGGCUAAGGUGUCUUGGCUAAGGUGUCUCGGCUAAUGUGUCUUGGCUAAGGUGUCUUGGCUAAUGUGUCUUGGCUAAGGUGUCUUGGCUAAUGUGUCUCGGCUAAUGUGUCUUGGCUAAUGUGUCUUGGCUAAGGUGUCUUGGCUAAUGUGUCUCGGCUAAUGUGUCUUGGCUAAGGUGUCUUGGCUAAGGUGUCUUGGUUAAUGUGUCUUGGCUAAGGUGUCUUGGCUAAGGUGUCUUGGCUAAGGUGUCUCGGCUAAUGUGUCUUGGCUAAGGUGUCUUGGCUAAUGUGUCUUGGCUAAGGUGUCUUGGCUAAUGUGUCUCGGCUAAUGUGUCUUGGCUAAGGUGUCUUGGCUAAGGUGUCUUGGUUAAUGUGUCUUGGCUAAGGUGUCUUGGCUAAUGUGUCUUGGCUAAUGUGUCUUGGCUAAUGUGUCUUGGCUAAUGUGUCUUGGCUAAUGUGUCUUGGCUAAGGUGUCUUGGCUAAUGUGUCUCGGCUAAUGUGUCUUGGCUAAGGUGUCUUGGCUAAGGUGUCUUGGUUAAUGUGUCUUGGCUAAGGUGUCUUGGCUAAUGUGUCUUGGCUAAUGUGUCUUGGCUAAUGUGUCUUGGUUAAGGUGUCUUGGCUAAGGUGUCUUGGCUAAUGUGUCUUGGCUAAGGUGUCUUGGCUAAGGUGUCUUGGCUAUUGUGUCUCGGCUAAUGUGUCUUGGCUAAUGUGUCUUGGCUAAGGUGUCUUGGCUAAUGUGUCUUGGCUAAGGUGUCUUGGCUUAGGUGUCUUGGCUAAUGUGUCUUGGCUAAUGUGUCUCGGCUAAGGUGUCUCGGCUAAUGUGUCUUGGCUAAUGUGUCUUGGCUAAGGUGUCCUGGCUAAUGUGUCUUAGCUAAGGUGUCUUGGCUAAUGCGUCUCGGCUAAUGUGUCUCGGCUAAGAUUUCUUGGCUAAGGUGUCUUGGCUAAAGUGUCUUGGCUAAGGUGUCUUUGCUAAUGUGUCUUGGCUAAGGUGUCUUGGCUAAGGUGUCUUGGCUAAGGUGUCUUGGGUAAUGUGUCUUGGCUAAGGUGUCUUGGCUAAGGUGUCUCGGCUAAUGUGUCUCGGCUAAUGUGUCUUGGCUAAGGUGUCUUGGCUAAGGUGUCUUGGCUAAUGUGUCUUGGCUAAGGUGUCUUGGCUAAGGUGUCUUGGCUAAUGUGUCUUGGCUAAGGUGUCUUGGCUAAUGUGUCUUGGCUAAGGUGUCUUGGGUAAUGUGUCUCGGCUAAUGUGUCUUGGCUAAGGUGUCUUGGCUAAGGUGUCUUGGCUAAUGUGUCUUGGCUAAUGUGUCUUGGCUAAUGUGUCUUGGCUAAGGUGUCUUGGCUAAUGUGUCUUGGCUAAGGUGUCUCGGCUAAGGUGUCUUGGCUAAGGUGUCUUGGCUAAUGUGCCUUGGCUAAGGUGUCUUGGCUAAGGUGUCUUGGCUAAUGUGUCUUGGCUAAUGUGUCUUGGCUAAGGUGUCUUGGCUAAGGUGUCUUGGCUAAUGUGUCUUGGCUAAGGUGUCUUGGCUAAGGUGUCUUGGCUAAUGUGUCUUGGCUAAGGUGUCUUGGCCAAAUUGUUAUGGCUAAGGUGUCUUGGCUAAUGUGUCUCGGCUAAUGUGUCUUGGUUAAUGUGUCUUGGCUAAGGUGUCUUGGCUAAUGUGUCUUGGCUAAUGUGUCUUGGCUAAGGUGUCUUGGCUAAUGUGUCUCGGCUAAUGUGUCUUGGCUAAUGUGUCUUGGCUAAGGUGUCUUGGCUAAUGUGUCUUGGCUAAUGUGUCUUGGCUAAUGUGUCUUGGCUAAGGUGUCUUGGCUAAGGUGUCUUGGCUAAUGUGUCUUGGCUAAGGUGUCUUGGCUAAUGUGUCUUAGCUAAGGUGUCUUGGCUAAUGUGUCUCGGCUAAUGUGUCUUGGCUAAUGUGUCUUGGCUAAUGUGUCUCGGUUAAGGUGUCUUGGCUAAUGUGUCUUCGCUAAUGUGUCUUGGCUAAGGUGUCUUGGCUAAUGUGUCUCGGCUAAGGUGUCUUGGCUAAGGUGUCUUGGCUAAUGUGUCUUGGCUAAUGUGUCUUGGCUAAUGUGUCUUGGCUAAGGUGUCUUGGCUAAUGUGUCUUGGCUAAGGUGUCUUGGCUAAUGUGUCUUGGCUAAGGUGUCUUUUCUAAUGUGUCUCGGCUAAUGUGUCUCGGCUAAGGUGUCUUGGCUAAGGUGUCUUGGCUAAUGUGUCUUGGCUAAGGUGUCUUGGCUAAUGUGUCUCGGCUAAGGUGUCUUGGCUAAUGUGUCUUGGCUGAUGUGUCUUGGCUAAUGUGUCUCGGCUAAUGUGUCUUGGCUAAGGUGUCUCGGCUAAUGUGUCUUGGCUAAUGUGUCUUGGCUAAGGUGUCUUGGCUAAUGUGUCUCGGCUAAUGUGUCUUGGCUAAUGUGUCUUGGCUAAGGUGUCUUGGCUAAUGUGUCUUGGCUAAUGUGUCUUGGCUAAUGUGUCUUGGCUAAGGUGUCUUUUCUAAUGUGUCUCGGCUAUUGUGUCUCGGCUAAGGUGUCUUGGCUAAGGUGUCUUGGCUAAUGUGUCUUGGCUAAGGUGUCUUGGCUAAGGUGUCUUGGCUAUUGUGUCUCGGCUAAUGUGUCUUGGCUAAUGUGUCUUGGCUAAGGUGUCUUGGCUAAUGUGUCUUGGCUAAGGUGUCUUGGCUUAGGUGUCUUGGCUAAUGUGUCUUGGCUAAUGUGUCUCGGCUAAGGUGUCUCGGCUAAUGUGUCUUGGCUAAUGUGUCUUGGCUAAGGUGUCUUGGCUAAUGUGUCUUAGCUAAGGUGUCUUGGCUAAUGCGUCUCGGCUAAUGUGUCUCGGCUAAGAUUUCUUGGCUAAGGUGUCUUGGCUAAAGUGUCUUGGCUAAGGUGUCUUUGCUAAUGUGUCUUGGCUAAGGUGUCUUGGCUAAGGUGUCUUGGCUAAGGUGUCUUGGGUAAUGUGUCUUGGCUAAGGUGUCUUGGCUAAGGUGUCUCGGCUAAUGUGUCUCGGCUAAUGUGUCUUGGCUAAGGUGUCUUGGCUAAGGUGUCUUGGCUAAUGUGUCUUGGCUAAGGUGUCUUGGCUAAGGUGUCUUGGCUAAUGUGUCUUGGCUAAGGUGUCUUGGCUAAUGUGUCUUGGCUAAGGUGUCUUGGGUAAUGUGUCUCGGCUAAUGUGUCUUGGCUAAGGUGUCUUGGCUAAGGUGUCUUGGCUAAUGUGUCUUGGCUAAUGUGUCUUGGCUAAGGUGUCUUGGCUAAGGUGUCUCGGCUAAUGUGUCUUGGCUAAGGUGUCUCGGCUAAGGUGUCUCGGCUAAUGUGUCUUGGCUAAUGUGUCUUGGCUAAGGUGUCUUGGCUAAUGUGUCUUGGCUAAUGUGUCUUGGCUAAUGUGUCUUGGCUAAGGUGUCUUGGCUAAGGUGUCAUGGCUAAUGUGUCUUGGCUAAUGUGUCAUGGCUAAUGUGUCUCGGCUAAUGUGUCUUGGCUAAUGUGUCUUCGCUAAGGUGUCUUGGUUAAUGUGUCUUGGCUAAUGUGUCUCGGCUAAUGUGUCUUGGCUAAUGUGUCUUGGCUAAUGUGUCUUGGCUAAGGUGUCUUGGCUAAGGUGUCUCGGCUAAGGUUUCUUGGCUAAUGUGUCUUGGCUAAGGUGUCUUGGCUAAGGUGUCUUGGCUAAGGUGUCUUGGCUAAUGUGUCUCGGCUAAGGUGUCUCGGCUAAGGUGUCUUGGCUAAUGUGUCUUGGCUAAUGUGUCUUGGCUAAUGUGUCUUGGCUAAGGUGUCUUGGCUAAGGUGUCAUGGCUAAUGUGUCUUGGCUAAUGUGUCAUGGCUAAUGUGUCUCGGCUAAUGUGUCUUGGCUAAUGUGUCUUGGCUUAGGUGUCUUGGCUAAUGUGUCUUGGCUAAGGUGUCUUGGCUAAGGUGUCUUGGCUAAGGUGUCUUGGCUAAUGUGUCUUGGCUAAUGUGUCUUGGCUAAAGUUUCUUGGCUAAGGUGUCUUGGCUAAGGUGUCUCGGCUAAGGUGUCUUGGCUAAGGUGUCUUGGCUAAUGUGUCUUGGCUAAGGUGUCUUGGCUAAGGUGUCUUGGCUAAUGUGUCUUGGCUAAUGUGUCUUGGCUAAGGUGUCUUGGCUUAUAUGUCUUGGCUAAUGUGUCUUGGCUAAUGUGUCUUGGCUAAUGUGUCUUGGCUAAUGUGUCUUGGCUAAAGUGUCUUGGCUAAGGUGUCUUGGCUAAUGUGUCUUGGCUAAGGUGUCUUGGCUAAAGUGUCUUGGCUAAGGUGUCUUGGCUAAUGUGUCUUGGCUAAUGUGUCUUGGCUAAUGUGUCUUGGCUAAGGUGUCUUGGCUUAUAUGUCUUGGCUAAUGUGUCUUGGCUAAGGUGUCUUGGCUUAUAUGUCUUGGCUAAUGUGUCUUGGCUAAGGUGUCUUGGCUAAUGUGUCUUGGCUAAUGUGUCUUGGCUAAUGUGUCUUGGCUAAGGUGUCUUGGCUAAUGUGUCUUGGCUAAUGUGUCUUGGCUAAUGUGUCUUGGCUAAGGUGUCUUGGCUAAUAUGUCUUGGCUAAUGUGUCUUGGCUAAGGUGUCUUGGCUAAGGUGUCUUGGCUUAUGUGUCUUGGCUAAUGUGUCUUGGCUAAAGUGUCUUGACUAAGGUGUCUUGGCUAAGGUGUCUUGGCUAAGGUGUCUUGGCUAAUGUGUCUUGGCUAAGGUGUCUUGGCUAAGGUGUCUUGGCUAAUGUGUCUUGGCUAAUGUGUCUUGGCUAAUGUGUCUUGGCUAAUGUGUCUUGGCUAAGGUGUCUUCGCUAAUGUGUCUUGGCUAAGGUGUCUUGGCUAAUGUGUCUUGGCUUAGGUGUCUUGGCUAAUGUGUCUUGGCUAAGGUGUCUUGGCUAAGGUGUCUUGGCUAAGGUGUCUUGGCUAAUGUGUCUUGGCUAAUGUGUCUUGGCUAAAGUGUCUUGGCUAAGGUGUCUUGGCUAAGGUGUCUCGGCUAAGGUGUCUUGGCUAAUGUGUCUUGGCUAAGGUGUCUUGGCUAAGGUGUCUCGGCUAAUGUGUCUUGGCUAAUGUGUCUUGGCUAAGGUGUCUUGGCUAAGGUGUCUUGGCUAAUGUGUCUUGGCUAAUGUGUCUUGGCUAAUGUGUCUUGGCUAAGGUGUCUUGGCUAAUGUGUCUUGGCUAAUGUGUCUUGGCUAAUGUGUCUUGGCUAAUGUGUCUUGGCUAAUGUGUCUUGGUUAAGGUGUCUUGGCUAAUGUGUCUCGGCUAAUGUGUCUUGGCUAAGGUGUCUUGGCUAAGGUGUCUUGGCUAAGGUGUCUUGGCUAAGGUGUCUUGGCUAAUGUGUCUUGGCUAAGGUGUCUUGGCUAAGGUGUCUCUGCUAAUGUGUCUUGGCUAAUGUGUCUUGGCUAAGGUGUCUUGGCUAAGGUGUCUUGGCUAAGGUGUCUUGGCUAAUGUGUCUUGGCUAAUGUGUCUUGGCUAAUGUGUCUUGGCUAAUGUGUCUUGGCUAAGGUGUCUUGGCUAAUGUGUCUUGGCUAAGGUGUCUUGGCUAAGGUGUCUUGGCUAAUGUGUCUCGACUAAUGUGUCUUGGCUUAUGUGUCUUGGCUAAUGUGUCUUGGCUAAGGUGUCUUGGCUAAUGUGUCUUGGCUAAGGUGUCUUGGCUAAUAUGUCUUGGCUAAUGUGUCUUGGCUAAGGUGUCUUGGCUAAUGUGUCUUGGCUAAUGUGUCUUGGCUAAGGUGUCUUGGCUAAGGUGUCUUGGCUAAGGUGUCUUGGCUAAGGUGUCUUGGCUAAGGUGUCUUGGCUAAUGUGUCUUGGCUAAGGUGUCUUGGCUAAUGUGUCUUGGCUAAGGUGUCUUCGCUAAGGUGUCUUGGCUAAUGUGUCUUGGCUAAGGUGUCUUGGCUAAGGUGUCUUGGCUAAGGUGUCUUGGCUAAGGUGUCUUGGCUAAGGAGUCUUGGCUAAGGUGUCUUGGCUAAUGUGUCUUGGCUAAUGUGUCUUGGCUAAGGUGUCUUGGCUAAGGUGUCUUGGCUAAGGUGUCUUGGCUAAUGUGUCUUGGCUAAGGUGUCUUGACUAAUGUGUCUUGGCUAAGGUGUCUUCGCUAAGGUGUCUUGGCUAAUGUGUCUUGGCUAAUGUGUCUUGGCUAAGGUGUCUUGGCUAAGGUGUCUUGGCUAAGGUGUCUUGGCUAAUGUGUCUUGGCUAAUGUGUCUUGGCUAAUGUGUCUUGGCUAAGGUGUCUUCGCUAAUGUGUCUUGGCUAAUGUGUCUUGGCUAAUGUGUCUUGGCUUAGGUGUCUUGACUAAUGUGUCUUGGCUAAGGUGUCUUGGCUAAGGUGUCUUGGCUAAGGUGUCUUGGCUAAUGUGUCUUGGCUAAUGUGUCUUGGCUAAUGUGUCUUGGCUAAGGUGUCUUGGCUAAGGUGUCUUGGCUAAGGUGUCUUGGCUAAUGUGUCUUGGCUAAGGUGUCUUGGCUAAGGUGUCUCGGCUAAUGUGUCUUGGCUAAUGUGUCUUGGCUAAGGUGUCUUGGCUAAGGUGUCUUGGCUAAUGUGUCUUGGCUAAUGUGUCUUGGCUAAUGUGUCUUGGCUAAGGUGUCUUGGCUAAUGUGUCUUGGCUAAUGUGUCUUGGCUAAUGUGUCUUGGCUAAUGUGUCUUGGCUAAUGUGUCUUGGUUAAGGUGUCUUGGCUAAUGUGUCUCGGCUAAUGUGUCUUGGCUAAGGUGUCUUGGCUAAUGUGUCUUGGCUAAUGUGUCUUGGCUAAUGUGUCUUGGCUAAGGUGUCUUGGCUAAUGUGUCUUGGCUAAUGUGUCGUGGCUAAAGUGUCUUGGCUAAUGUGUCUUGGCUAAUGUGUCUUGGCUAAUGUGUCUUGGUUAAUGUGUCUUGGCUAAGGUGUCUUGGCUAAUGUGUCUUGGCCAAUGUGUCUUGGCCAAUGUGUCUUGGCUAAUGUGUCUUGGCUAAGGUGUCUUGGCUAAUGUGUCUUGGCUAAGGUGUCUUGGCUAAUAUGUCUUGGCUAAUGUGUCUUGGCUAAGGUGUCUUGGCUAAGGUGUCUUGGCUAAUGUGUCUUGGCUAAUGUGUCUAAUGGUUAAGGUGUCUUGGCUAAGGUGUCUUGGCUAAGGUGUCUUGGCUAAGGUGUCUUGGCUAAUGUGUCUUGGCUAAUGUGUCUUGGCUAAGGUGUCUUGGCUAAGGUGUCUUGGCUAAGGUGUCUUGGCUAAUGUGUCUUGGCUAAGGUGUCUUGGCUAAGGUGUCUUGGCUAAUGUGUCUUGGCUAAUGUGUCUUGGCUAAUGUGUCUUGGCUAAUGUGUCUUGGCUAAUGUGUCUUGGCUAAGGUGUCUUGGCUAAUGUGUCUUGGUUAAGGUGUCUUGGCUAAGGUGUCUUGGCUAAGGUGUCUUGGCUAAUGUGUCUUGGCUAAUGUGUCUUGGCUAAUGUGUCUUGGCUUAGGUGUCUUGGCUAAUGUGUCUUGGCUAAGGUGUCUUGGCUAAGGUGUCUUGGCUAAGGUGUCUUGGCUAAUGUGUCUUGGCUAAGGUGUCUUGGCUAAGGUGUCUCGGCUAAUGUGUCUUGGCUAAUGUGUCUUGGCUAAGGUGUCUUGGCUAAGGUGUCUUGGCUAAGGUGUCUUGGCUAGUGUGUCUUGGCUAAUGUGUCUUGGCUAAUGUGUCUUGGCUAAGGUGUCUUGGCUAAUGUGUCUUGGCUAAGGUGUCUUGGCUAAGAUGUCUUGGCUAAUGUGUCUCGACUAAUGUGUCUUGGCUAAUGUGUCUUGGCUAAGGUGUCUUGGCUAAGGUGUCUUGGCUAAGGUGUCUCGGCUAAUGUGUCUUGGCUAAUGUGUCUUGGCUAAGGUGUCUUGGCUAAGGUGUCUUGGCUAAGGUGUCUUGGCUAAUGUGUCUUGGCUAAUGUGUCUUGGCUAAUGUGUCUUGGCUAAUGUGUCUUGGCUAAGGUGUCUUGGCUAAGGUGUCUCGGCUUAUGUGUCUUGGCUAAGGUGUCUUGGCUAAGGUGUCUUGGCUAAUAUGUCUUGGCUAAUGUGUCUUGGCUAAGGUGUCUUGGCUAAGGUGUCUUGGCUAAGGUGUCUUGGCUAAUGUGUCUUGGCUAAUGUGUCUUGGCUAAGGUGUCUUGGCUAAGGUGUCUUGGCUAAGGUGUCUUGGCUAAGGUGUCUUGGCUAAUGUGUCUUGGCUAAGGUGUCUUGGCUAAUGUGUCUUGGCUAAGGUGUCUUGGCUAAUGUGUCUUGUCUAAGGUGUCUUGGCUAAUGUGUCUUGGCUAAUGUGUCUUGGCUAAUGUGUCUUGGCUAAGGUGUCUUGGCUAAUGUGUCUUGGCUAAGGUGUCUUGGCUAAGGUGUCUUGGCUAAUGUGUCUUGGCUAAUGUUUCUUGGCUAAGGUGUCUUGGCUAAUGUGUCUUGGCUAAUGUGUCUUGGCUAAGGUGUCUUGGCUAAUGUGUCUUGGCUAAGGUGUCUUGGCUGAUGUGUCUUGGCUAAGGUGUCUUGGCUAAGGUGUCUUGGCUAAGUUGUCUUGGCUAAGGUGUCUUGGCUAAUGUGUCUUGGCUAAGGUGUCUUGGCUAAUGUGUCUUGGCUAAGGUGUCUUGGCUAAGGUGUCUUGGCUAAUGUGUCUUGGCUAAGUUGUCUUGGCUAAUGUGUCUUGGCUAAGGUGUCUUGGCUAAGGUGUCUUGGCUAAUGUGUCUUGGCUAAUGUGUCUUGGCUAAGGUGUCUUGGCUAAGGUGUCUUGGCUAAGGUGUCUUGGCUAAAGUGUCUUGGCUAAGGUGUCUUGGCUAUGGUGUCUUGGCUAAGGUGUCUUGGCUAAUGUGUCUUGGCUAAGGUGUCUUGGCUAAUGUGUCUUGGCUAAUUUGUCUUGGCUAAUGUGUCUUGACUAAUGUGUCUUGGCUAAGGUGUCUUGGCUAAGGUGUCUUGGCUAAUGUGUCUUGGCUAAGGUGUCUUGGCUAAGGUGUCUUGGCUAAGGUGUCUUGGCUAAGGUGUCUUGGCUAAUGUGUCUUGGCUAAUGUGUCUUGGCUAAGGUGUCUUGGCUAAGGUGUCUUGGCUAAGGUGUCUUGGCUAAUGUGUCUUGGCUAAUGUGUCUUGGCUAAGGUGUCUUGGCUAAGGUGUCUUCGCUAAUGUGUCUUGGCUAAGGUGUCUUGGCUAAUGUGUCUUGGUUAAUGUGUCUUGGCUAAUGUGUCUUGGCUAAUGUGUCUUGGCUAAGGUGUCUUGGCUAAUGUGUCUUGGAUAAGGUGUCUUGGCUAAUGUGUCUUGGCUAAUGUGUCUUGGCUAAUGUGUCUUGGCUAAGGUGUCUUGGCUAAGGUGUCUUGGCUAAUGUGUCUUGGCUAAGGUGUCUUGGCUAAUGUGUCUUGGCUAAUGUGUCUUGGCUAAGGUGUCUUGGCUAAGGUGUCUUGGCUAAGGUGUCUUGGCUAAUGUGUCUUGGCUAAGGUGUCUUGGCUAAUGUGUCUUGGCUAAGGUGUCUUGGCUAAGGUGUCUUAGCUAAGGUGUCUUGGCUAAUGUGUCUUUGCUAAUGUGUCUUGGCUAAUGUGUCUUGGCUAAUGUGUCUUGGCUAAGGUGUCUUCGCUAAUGUGUCUUGGCUAAGGUGUCUUGGCUAAUGUGUCUUGGCUAAUGUGUCUUGGCUAAGGUGUCUUGGCUAAUGUGUCUUGGCUAAGGUGUCUUGGCUAAUGUGUCUUGGCUAAUGUGUCUUGGCUAAGGUGUCUUGGCUAAGGUGUCUUGGCUAAGGUGUCUUGGCUAAUGUGUCUUGGCUAAUGUGUCUUAGCUAAUGUGUCUUGGCUAAGGUGUCUUGGCUAAGGUGUCUUGGCUAAGGUGUCUUGGCUAAUGUGUCUUGGCUAAUGUGUCUUGGCUAAGGUGUCUUGGCUAAGGUGUCUUCGCUAAUGUGUCUUGGCUAAGGUGUCUUGGCUAAUGUGUCUUGGUUAAUGUGUCUUGGCUAAUGUGUCUUGGCUAAUGUGUCUUCGCUAAGGUGUCUUGGCUAAUGUGUCUUGGCUAAGGUGUCUUGGCUAAUGUGUCUUGGCUAAUGUGUCUUGGCUAAUGUGUCUUGGCUAAGGUGUCUUGGCUAAGGUGUCUUGGCUAAGGUGUCUUGGCUAAGGUGUCUUGGCUAAUGUGUCUUGGCUAAUGUGUCUUGGCUAAGGUGUCUUGGCUAAGGUGUCUUGGCUAAGGUGUCUUGGCUAAUGUGUCUUGGCUAAGGUGUCUUGGCUAAUGUGUCUUGGCUAAGGUGUCUUGGCUAAGGUGUCUUAGCUAAGGUGUCUUGGCUAAUGUGUCUUGGCUAAUGUGUCUUGGCUAAUGUGUCUUGGCUAAUGUGUCUUGGCUAAGGUGUCUUCGCUAAUGUGUCUUGGCUAAGGUGUCUUGGCUAAUGUGUCUUGGCUAAGGUGUCUUGGCUAAUGUGUCUUGGCUAAGGUGUCUUGGCUAAGGUGUCUUGGCUAAGGUGUCUUGGCUAAUGUGUCUUGGCUAAGGUGUCUUGGCUAAGGUGUCUUGGCUAAGGUGUCUUGGCUAAUGUGUCUUGGCUAAUGUGUCUUGGCUAAGGUGUCUUGGCUAAUGUGUCUUGGCUAAGGUGUCUAGGCUAAGGUGUCUUGGCUAAUGUGUCUUGGCUAAUGUGUCUUGGCUAAGGUGUCUUGGCUAAGGUGUCUCGGCUAAUGUGUCUUGGCUAAUGUGUCUUGGCUAAGGUGUCUUGGCUAAGGUGUCUUGGCUAAGGUGUCUUGGCUAAGGUGUCUUGGCUAAUGUGUCUUGGCUAAUGUGUCUUGGCUAAGGUGUCUUGGCUAAUGUGUCUUGGCUAAGGUGUCUAGGCUAAGGUGUCUUGGCUAAUGUGUCUUGGCUAAUGUGUCUUGGCUAAGGUGUCUUGGCUAAGGUGUCUCGGCUAAUGUGUCUUGGCUAAUGUGUCUUGGCUAAGGUGUCUUGGCUAAUGUGUCUUGGUUAAGGUGUCUUGGCUAAUGUGUCUUGGCUAAUGUGUCUUGGCUAAGGUGUCUUGGCUAAUGUGUCUUGGCUAAGGUGUCUUGGCUAAUGUGUCUUGGCUAAGGUGUCUUGGCUAAUGUGUCUUGGCUAAUGUGUCUUGGCUAAGGUGUCUUGGCUAAGGUGUCUUGGCUAAUGUGUCUUGGCUAAUGUGUCUUGGCUAAGGUGUCUUGGCUAAUGUGUCUUGGCUAAGGUGUCUUGGCUAAUGUGUCUUGGCUAAGGUGUCUUGGCUAAUGUGUCUUGGCUAAUGUGUCUUGGCUAAGGUGUCUUGGCUAAUGUGUCUUGGCUAAGGUGUCUUGGCUAAUGUGUCUUGGCUAAUGUGUCUUGGCUAAGGUGUCUUGGCUAAGGUGUCUUGGCUAAGGUGUCUUGGCUAAUGUGUCUUGGCUAAUGUGUCUUAGCUAAUGUGUCUUGGCUAAGGUGUCUUGGCUAAGGUGUCUUGGCUAAGGUGUCUUGGCUAAUGUGUCUUGGCUAAUGUGUCUUGGCUAAGGUGUCUUGGCUAAUGUGUCUUGGCUAAUGUGUCUUGGCUAAUGUGUCUUGGCUAAGGUGUCUUCGCUAAUGUGUCUUGGCUAAGGUGUCUUGGCUAAUGUGUCUUGGCUAAGGUGUCUUGGCUAAUGUGUCUUGGCUAAGGUGUCUUCGCUAAGGUGUCUUGGCUAAUGUGUCUUGGCUAAGGUGUCUUGGCUAAGGUGUCUUGGCUAAGGUGUCUUGGCUAAUGUGUCUUGGCUAAUGUGUCUUGGCUAAUGUGUCUUGGCUAAUGUGUCUUGGCUAAUGUGUCUUGGCUAAUGUGUCUUGGCUAAUGUGUCUUGGCUAAUGUGUCUUGGUUAAUGUGUCUUGGCUAAUGUGUCUUGGCUAAUGUGUCUUGGCUAAGGUGUCUUGGCUAAUGUGUCUUGGCUAAGGUGUCUUGGCUAAUGUGUCUUGGCUAAUGUGUCUUGGCUAAUGUGUCUUGGCUAAGGUGUCUUGGCUAAGGUGUCUUGGCUAAGGUGUCUUGGCUAAUGUGUCUUGGCUAAUGUGUCUUGGCUAAUGUGUCUUGGCUAAGGUGUCUUGGCUAAUGUGUCUUGGCUAAGGUGUCUUGGCUAAUGUGUCUUGGCUAAGGUGUCUUCGCUAAUGUGUCUUGGCUAAGGUGUCUUGGCUAAUGUGUCUUGGCUAUUGUGUCUUGGCUAAUGUGUCUUGGCUAAGGUGUCUUGGCUAAUGUGUCUUGGCUAAGGUGUCUUGGCUAAUGUGUCUUGGCUAAUGUGUCUUGGCUAAGGUGUCUUGGCUAAGGUGUCUCGGCUAAUGUGUCUUGGCUAAUGUGUCUUGGCUAAUGUGUCUUGGCUAAGGUGUCUUGGCUAAGGUGUCUUGGCUAAGGUGUCUUGGCUAAGGUGUCUUGGCUAAUGUGUCUUGGCUAAUGUGUCUUGGCUAAUGUGUCUUGGCUAAUGUGUCUUGGCUAAUGUGUCUUGGCUAAGGUGUCUUGGCUAAGGUGUCUUGGCUAAGGUGUCUUGGCUAAGGUGUCUUGGCUAAGGUGUCUUGGCUAAGGUGUCUUGGCUAAGGUGUCUUGGCUAAUGUGUCUUGGCUAAGGUGUCUUGGCUAAGGUGUCUUGGCUAAGGUGUCUUGGCUAAGGUGUCUUGACUAAUUUGUCUUGGCUAAUGUGUCUUGGCUAAGGUGUCUUGGCUAAUGUGUCUUGGCUAAUGUGUCUUGGCUAAUAUGUCUUGGCUAAUGUGUCUUGGCUAAUGUGUCUUGGCUAAGGUGUCUUGGCUAAUGUGUCUUGGCUAAGGUGUCUUGGCUAAUGUGUCUUGGCUAAUGUGUCUUGGCUAAUGUGUCUUGGCUAAGGUGUUUUGGCUAAGGUGUCUUGGCUAAUGUGUCUCGGCUAAUGUGUCUUGGCUAAGGUGUCUCGGCUAAGGUGUCUUGGCUAAGGUGUCUUGGCUAAGGUGUCUUGGCUAAGGUGUUUUGGCUAAGGUGUCUUGGCUAAGGUGUCUUGGCUAAGGUGUCUUGGCUAAUGUGUCUUGGCUAAGGUGUCUUGGCUAAUGUGUCUUGGCUAAGGUGUCUUGGCUAAGGUGUCUUGGCUAAUGUGUCUUGGCUAAGGUGUCUUGGCUAAGGUGUCUUGGCUAAGGUGUCUUGGCUAAUGUGUCUUGGCUAAUGUGUCUUGGCUAAGGUGUCUUGGCUAAUGUGUCUUGGCUAAGGUGUCUUGGCUAAGGUGUCUUGGCUAAGGUGUCUUGGCUAAUGUGUCUUGGCUAAUGUGUCUUGGCUAAGGUGUCUUGGCUAAGGUGUCUUGGCUAAGGUGUCUCGGCUAAUGUGUCUUGGCUAAUGUGUCUUGGCUAAGGUGUCUUGGCUAAUGUGUCUUGGCUAAUGUGUCUUGGCUAAUGUGUCUUGGCUAAUGUGUCUUGGCUAAUGUGUCUUGGCUAAGGUGUCUUGGCUAAUGUGUCUUGGCUAAGGUGUCUUGGCUAAUGUGUCUUGGCUAAGGUGUCUUGGCAAAUGUGUCUUGGCUAAUGUGUCUUGGCUAAGGUUUUUUUUUU